UGGGGAAUAUUGGACAAUGGGGGGAACCCUGAUCCAGCCAUGCCGCGUGUGUGAAGAAGGCCUUAUGGUUGUAAAGCACUUUAAGCGAGGAGGAGGGUACUGGUAUUAAUACUACCAGCUACUGGACGUUACUCGCAGAAUAAGCACCGGCUAACUCUGUGCCAGCAGCCGCGGUAAUACAGAGGGUGCGAGCGUUAAUCGGAUUUACUGGGCGUAAAGCGUGCGUAGGCGGCUAAUUGAGUCGGAUGUGAAAUCCCCGAGCUUAACUUGGGAAUUGCAUUCGAUACUGGUUAGCUAGAGUAUGGGAGAGGAUGGUAGAAUUCCAGGUGUAGCGGAGAAAUGCGUAGAGAUCUGGAGGAAUACCGAUGGCGAAGGCAGCCAUCUGGCCUAAUACUGACGCUGAGGUACGAAAGCAUGGGGAGCAAACAGG
rnacentral:rRNA from 1 species